rnacentral:rRNA from 1 species
AAGUAAAAAAUUUAAUUGUAUAGAGUAGAGGUUCGUGAUCUUGAAAAAUAAAAUUACAUGGCGGCCUAUCAACUACAUAGAGAUACAUGCUUUUUAAUGGAUAAUACACAAAAAUCUUACCUAAUUUUGUUAUUACAUUUGGUACACCGCCGUCGGAAGAAGAGUUUAUUAAGACUGUUCUAUAACCUUUUAAUCAAGGUAUAAGUCAGGCCAAGGCACUGAUUAUUAUUAGGUUAAAGUGUGUUUCAUUAAUAUUAUUAUGUCUCAAAAUUCCAUUAAAUAUGGAAAUUGAACAAUUGAAUCAAGGUAAUAGAAUUUAUAAGUAAGUUUUAUUUAUAAAAUAAAAUUGAAUAGCGAAAUGAUUAGGC